rnacentral:rRNA from 1 species
CACGUGGGAACAUACCCUUUGGUGCGGAACAACAGCUGGAAACGGCUGCUAAUACCGCAUGCGCCCUACGGGGGAAAGAUUUAUCGCCGAAGGAUUGGCCCGCGUCUGAUUAGCUAGUUGGUGAGGUAAUGGCUCACCAAGCGACGAUCAGUAGCUGGUCUGAGAGGAUGAUCAGCCACACUGGACUGAGACACGGCCCAGACUCCUACGGGAGGCAGCAGUGGGGAAUAUUGGACAAUGGGCGCAAGCCUGAUCCAGCCAUGCCGCGUGAGUGAUGAAGGCCCUAGGGUUGUAAAGCUCUUUCAGCGAGGAGGAUAAUGACGUUACUCGCAGAAGAAGCCCCGGCUAACUUCGUGCCAGCAGCCGCGGUAAUACGAAGGGGGCUAGCGUUGUUCGGAAUCACUGGGCGUAAAGCGCACGUAGGCGGACUUUUAAGUCAGGGUGAAAUCCCGGGGCUCAACCUCGGAACUGCCUUUGAUACUGGAAGUCUGGAGUCCGAGAGAGGUGAGUGGAACUCCGAGUGUAGAGGUGAAAUUCGUAGAUAUUCGGAAGAACACCAGUGGCGAAGGCGGUCACUGGCUCGGUACUGACGCUGAGGUGCGAAAGCGUGGGGAGCAAACAGGAUUAGAUACACUGGUAGUCC